rnacentral:rRNA from 1 species
CUACUAGGGUUUCUAAUCCUGUUUGCUCCCCACGCUUUCGCGCCUCAGCGUCAGUAAUGGUCCAGUUGGCCGCCUUCGCCACCGGUGUUCUUGCGAAUAUCUACGAAUUUCACCUCUACACUCGCAGUUCCACCAACCUCUACCAUACUCAAGCGUCCCAGUAUCGAAGGCCAUUCUGUGGUUGAGCCACAGGCUUUCACCCCCGACUUAAAACGCCGCCUACGCGCCCUUUACGCCCAGUGAUUCCGAGCAACGCUAGCCCCCUUCGUAUUACCGCGGCUGCUGGCAC